GACGAACGCUGGCGGCGUGCUUAACACAUGCAAGUCGAGCGGUAAGGCCCUUUCGGGGGUACACGAGCGGCGAACGGGUGAGUAACACGUGGGUGACCUGCCCUCAGCUCUGGGAUAAGCCUGGGAAACCGGGUCUAAUACCGGAUAUGACUCCAUGACGCAUGUGUGGGUGGAAAGCCUUGUGCGCUGAGGAUGGGCCCGCGGCCUAUCAGCUUGUUGGUGGGGUGAUGGCCUACCAAGGCGACGACGGGUAGCCGGCCUGAGAGGGCGACCGGCCACACUGGGACUGAGACACGGCCCAGACUCCUACGGGAGGC
rnacentral:rRNA from 1 species